CCAAGACUUAGCUGCUCCAGUUCAGGCUGGUUGCACGCUUCAACCCUUUGUGAACCAAAAACCUUUACGCUUCGGCAGCUGGUUCCAGCUGUAAGCCUGCCGAUGGCACCCAUUUAAACCUGUCCGUUAAAUAUUUGUCUGAACUAAAUAUUUUCGAAUGAAAAUUA
rnacentral:misc_RNA from 1 species